GCAUCGGUAGUCCAAUGGUCAGGAUAUGCGCCUUCCAAGCACGAGAUCCGGGUUCAAUUCCCGGCCGAUGCA
rfam:Coccomyxa subellipsoidea C-169, whole genome shotgun sequence.